UGGAAAGAUGAAUCAAAGAAGGUAAUAAUCCUGUAGUCGAAAAUGUUGUCUCUCUUGAGUGGAUCCUGAGUACGACGGAGCACGUGAAAUUCCGUCGGAAUCUGGGAGGACCAUCUCCUAAGGCUAAAUACUCUCUAGUGACCGAUAGUGAACCAGUACCGUGAGGGAAAGGUGAAAAGCACCCCGGAAGGGGAGUGAAAUAGAACCUGAAACCGUGUGCUUACAAGUAGUCAGAGCCCGUUAAUGGGUGAUGGCGUGCCUUUUGUAGAAUGAACCGGCGAGUUACGAUUUGAUGCAAGGUUAAGCAGUAAAUGUGGAGCCGUAGCGAAAGCGAGUCUGAAUAGGGCGUUUAGUAUUUGGUCGUAGACCCGAAACCAGGUGAUCUACCCUUGGUCAGGUUGAAGUUCAGGUAACACUGAAUGGAGGACCGAACCGACUUACGUUGAAAAGUGAGCGGAUGAACUGAGGGUAGCGGAGAAAUUCCAAUCGAACCUGGAGAUAGCUGGUUCUCUCCGAAAUAGCUUUAGGGCUAGCCUCAAGUGAUGAUUAUUGGAGGUAGAGCACUGUUUGGACGAGGGGCCCCUCUCGGGUUACCGAAUUCAGACAAACUCCGAAUGCCAAUUAAUUUAACUUGGGAGUCAGAACAUGGGUGAUAAGGUCCGUGUUCGAAAGGGAAACAGCCCAGACCACCAGCUAAGGUCCCAAAAUAUAUGUUAAGUGGAAAAGGAUGUGGCGUUGCCCAGACAACUAGGAUGUUGGCUUAGAAGCAGCCAUCAUUUAAAGAGUGCGUAAUAGCUC
rnacentral:rRNA from 1 species